CAAAACAUAAAAAAGACACAAAAUAAGGAUGGUAGAUAAUAAUUCAUAUAAAUAUUUUAGGACAUUUAAUCUAUUUUAAUAGAAAUAGGAUUUAAAAACUGCAAACAAAUUUAAUCAUUACAUAAUCAGCUGAUAUUUUUUUUUACACAAACAUCGUGUUGAUGGAACUGUUGAAAAUCACUUCAUAAAUCCACCAGCCCUUUCACACAGC
rnacentral:lncRNA from 1 species